GGGGGUGUAGCUCAGUGGUAGAGCGCGUGCUUUGCAUGUACGAGGCCCCUGGUUCAAUUCCUGGCACCUCCA
rnacentral:tRNA from 2 species